AUUGAACGCUGGCGGCAUGCUUUACACAUGCAAGUCGAACGGUAACAGGCCUUUGGGUGCUGACGAGUGGCGCACGGGGGAGUAAUGUACCGGAACGUACCCAGGGGAGGGGGAGAACGCGUCGGAAGCUGGGCGAAUACCGCACGUGAGCUGAGGAGGAGAGCGGGGGACCGAGCAGCAACGCUUGGCCUCGCGCCUUUGGAGCUCGCAAUGUCGGAUUAGCUAGUUGGUGGGGUAAAGGCCUACCAAGGCGACGAUCCGUAGCUGGUCUGAGAGGACGACCAGCCACACUGGAACUGAGACACGGCCCAGACUCCUACGGGAGGCAGCAGUGGGGAAUAUUGGACAAUGGGCGCAAGCCUGAUCCAGCAAUGCCGCGUGUGGGAAGAAGGCCUUCGGGUUGUAAACCGCUUUUGGCAGGAAGGAAGCGGUGUCCGUUAAUACCGGGCGCUAUUGACGUUACCUGCAGAAUAAGCACCGGCUAACUACGUG
rnacentral:rRNA from 1 species